UACAGAGACUGCAAGCGUUAUUCGGAUUCACUGGGCGUAAAGGGUGCGCAGGCGGCCGUGUGUGUGAGGCGUGAAAGCCCGGGGCUCAACCCCGGAAUUGCCUUUAAGACUGCAUCGCUUGAAUCCGGGAGAGGUGAGUGGAAUUCCGAGUGUAGAGGUGAAAUUCGUAGAUAUUCGGAAGAACACCAGUGGCGAAGGCGGCUCACUGGACCGGUAUUGACGCUGAGGUGCGAAAGCGUGGGGAGCAAACAGG
rnacentral:rRNA from 1 species